rnacentral:rRNA from 1 species
UGAGCUCAAAUUUGAAAUCUGGCGUCUUUCAGGCGUCCGAGUUGUAAUCUAUAGAGGCGUUUUCCGCGCCGGACCGCGUCCAAGUCUCUUGGAAUAGAGUAUCAAAGAGGGUGACAAUCCCGUACUUGACGCGACAACCGGUGCUCUGUGAUACGUUCUCAAUGAGUCGAGUUGUUUGGGAAUGCAGCUCUAAAUGGGUGGUAAAUUCCAUCUAAGGCUAAAUAUUGGCGAGAGACCGAUAGCGAACAAGUACCGUGAGGGAAAGAUGAAAAGCACUUUGGAAAGAGAGUUAAACAGCACGUGAAAUUGUUAAAAGGGAAACGAUUGAAGUCAGUCGUGUGGGAAGUAUUCAGCCGUCUCUGGCGGUGUAUUUGCUUCUCACGGGUCAACAUCAGUUUGAUCCGGUAGAAAAAGGCGGGAAGAAGGUGGCAUCCUCGGGUGUGUUAUAGCUUCCUGUCAUAUGUGCCGGACCAGACUGAGGAACGCAGCUUGCAGCAAUGCCGGGGUUCGCCCACGUACAAGCUUAGGAUGUUGACAUAAUGGCUUUAAACGACCCGUCUUGAA